rnacentral:rRNA from 1 species
GGGGGCUGCUAUACAUGCAAGUCGAGCGGACAGAAGGGAGCUUGCUCCCGGAUGUUAGCGGCGGACGGGUGAGUAACACGUGGGUAACCUGCCUGUAAGACUGGGAUAACUCCGGGAAACCGGAGCUAAUACCGGAUAGUUCCUUGAACCGCAUGGUUCAAGGAUGAAAGACGGUUUCGGCUGUCACUUACAGAUGGACCCGCGGCGCAUUAGCUAGUUGGUGGGGUAAUGGCUCACCAAGGCGACGAUGCGUAGCCGACCUGAGAGGGUGAUCGGCCACACUGGGACUGAGACACGGCCCAGACUCCUACGGGAGGCAGCAGUAGGGAAUCUUCCGCAAUGGACGAAAGUCUGACGGAGCAACGCCGCGUGAGUGAUGAAGGUUUUCGGAUCGUAAAGCUCUGUUGUUAGGGAAGAACAAGUGCGAGAGUAACUGCUCGCACCUUGACGGUACCUAAGGGGAAAGCCCCGCCUAACUACGUGCC